rnacentral:rRNA from 1 species
GCGCUCGGUCUUACCACCCUGAACGCGCCCGGUCUCGUGUGGUCUCGGAAGCGAAGCAGGGUCGGGCAGGGCUGUACUUGCGUGGAGACACUUAGUUCUUAAAUCACAGAUCUCAGGGCGCC